rnacentral:rRNA from 1 species
AUGUGUUCAUAUUUUGACUUAACAUCUUUAAUUGUUGUAGGCAUAGCUUCAUCCGGUUCCAUGACGAGGCCACCGUGUGCCAACCAAGAAGACAUGCCGCACAAGUGGAAGGGCGCAUCUUUGGACAAGGUGAAGGAGAAAUAUGUGAAGAUUCCGCCAUAUUGGUGUGGAGAUGUUUGCAAGGUGAAGGAGUCCACCAACCGAAAGAAGUCAUGGACGGAAGGAAGGAGAUAUUUUGUUUGCCCCAACUAUGCUUAUGAUCGUGCGCUUCCAACUAACGCCUAUGACCUUCCACCGGUAUGCUAG